GCACAUACUGCUUCCCCAUUGUUUUCUUUUGUUUGCUGCUAAUCCAAGCAUACACACACAUACACAAAAACCAUUUGAGGCACUCAUACAUAACACAAGCUAAUCACCCUCUCGUUUCCCCAUCCCCUCUGCAAUAUCAUCCAACACACAAGCAUCACACCCACCUAAGCUUGUGAGAGAAGGGUAUUACCAUUACCAAGAAAAGAAAAGCUGAACUAGAGAGCGAGAGGAAACGGUGGCCGACGUUGAGUUCUGGAGAGCCGCGGCGGCGGCAGACGGCAGCGCCGCCGUCUGCAGCGGCGGUGAUGCGUGAUUUCGUUGCUCCGACGGGUUUCACCGAUCUGGUUCAGGGAUUCCGGUUCGAGUCUCGAGUUGGGUUCCAGUCGGUUCGGGUUCCGAUUCAGAUUAUGUGUCGAUUUCAGUCAUGUUCCGACUUGGUUUAGCUUCCGGCCUCGGGUUCGGGUCCUGUUCGACUUCAGUCUACUCCGGUCAUCAUCCGUUCCUGUUCAGACUCGGUACGGAGGUCGACAAAAACUGUCCUUCAUCGUGUUCGGGUGACCUCGUUGUUCCAACCUCCUAAUCUUUUACACUCAUCAACGCUUGGAUAAUCGGAAGGCUUAGCAAUGAAGUUGAGGUUUGAUGAUGCUAUGAAAACGGACUAGCAAAGAUGCCUAGAUACUCACUUAGACGUCUUAGGUCAAAUAUAUUGUAUGAAUUUCAUAUUUGUUGUUGUAUUGUUCUCUUGUAUUUUUAAUGUAUUGUAACAUUUAUUCAUGAAUGAAACCAAUUUAUCUUUAA